rnacentral:snRNA from 1 species
GUGCUUGCUUCAGCGGCACAUUACUAAAAGGAUAUAGAGAUUAGCAUGGCUGCUGUGCAAGGAUGACAUGCAAAUCCAUAAAGCAUUUUCUAUUUAA